GGCGGCCUUCGCACCGCGCAACGAAACCGCCUCCCCUGGUGGCGACCGGGGGAACUGGCCGCUCACGUCACUCGGCAGCCUCAGCCUCUUCCUUGCGCACCAGUGCUCUCGUGUAAACCCGCCUCGCUGCCCAGGGCAGCCCGCAGACAAAGCAACAUCCCUGCCUCGCUCCAGCCCCCUAUUGGUCUCGUCCACCCCGCGAUUUUACUUCUCCAUUGUCACCAGCCUCUAACUAACCCGUCCCACCACCGCUCCACAGCUCUCCCUCAGUCCCCCUUCUUCCCUCGCCCUGCAAGGUUUACCAGUUGCCCCCUUCAGCGCCCCCGCUCCAACUCUCCCGGCUCUCACUGCUACCCCAACCACGUCUGCCCCUCAGAGUCAGGGCCCCAUCAUCCCAUCACCUCCCCAUCUCUUCCCCGUCCCCUGCCUCACCAUCCCACAACAUACCUUACACUGUCUCACCACCCCCAGAACUAGUGUCCCUCACAGAGUUUCAGUGCCAACCCCCUUCAGCAUCACUAGCCUCACAAGCCUCUCAGUCUCGCUGCCCCCCAAACCCACCUCCAGGGAGCUUUCCUGCCCCCACAACCCAGCCUCAGCCCCGCCACUUCCACAGUUCUGUCAGGCCACCUCCCUGUCCCACAACUCUUCCCCGUGCCCGCCAGUGUACAACUCCGUCAGACAGUCAUUCCCCCCAUUUUGUCUCACAGCCACCACAAGCACCCCUUAACCAGUCUGAACCACCCCUCUCUACAGCCCAGUUUCACUACCCUCAAUCCCCACCACCACGACCCCCAUCAAAACCACCUUAUUGUCCCCACAAUUAUAGUGAGUCAUCUGAGUGAGAAAAUUAAAAAUGUAUCUUCAUGCUUUAAGAACUUUGAUGACCAAGAACAUUGGUGCUUGAAUAACUCAAAGACUAUUUGCAUUUAAACAUAAGGUCUCCUACUUCAUGAGAUAUGGAUCAUCACAUCAUGCUCCUUGCAUGAUAUUAUAUGAAGUAUGGAAGCUGCUGUUGAUACAAUGGCAAUAUAUCAGCACUGAAACCUGCAAAUUGUCCUUUCAGGACAAGGAGAUAAUGCUGCCCGCUUCUUGUUCACAAUGUCACCUGAAAGAGAACAGGUGUUCUCAUGGAACUGUUGUAGCUGGUGUCGCAAGAUAUUUACAUGACAGAUGCACUGAAGAUUCAUAUGUUCCUUGAUACUUCACCAUUCCUGAGUUCCCUUCCAACCCUGAUUUUCUAUGAAAUACCCUCCCUACCCAAUGAAGCCGGAGAAGGGACCUCUGCAGCUGCAAAUGUUUCAAGCCUUCCUCCUCCGUCCCAAAGGCUAUCUCAGAUAAGGCGGUGGAAAAAACGCACGUGCGAUGAAAUGUUCUCUGAGCUCAUGCAGUCAUCCGGCACUGACAGAGCUCAGCAGAAUGUGUAGAGGGACACAAUAGCAGAGUACAGGAAAGUGGCCGAUGAACGUGAGGAGAGGUGGUGGCAGAAAGAUCAGAGGAGGCAUGAGGCAACACUGGAGCUACUGCGGGAUCAAAUGGACAUGCUCUGGCGUCUGGUGGAAGUUCAUGAACGGCAGCAGGAUCACAGACUGCUGCUGCAGCCCCUGUUUAACCGCCCUCCCUCCUCCCCAAUUUCCAUAGCCUCCUCACCCAGAUACCCAAGAACGUGGGGAGGGGUGUGUGUGUGUGGAAGGCUCCAGGCACCCAACCACUCCACCCCAGUGGACAGCCCAAGCAACAGAAGGCUGUCAUUCAAGAAGUUUUAAAGUGGCCUUUUCCUUCCUUCCUACCCUCCUCCUACACCCCACCCCGGCUACCUUGUGAGCUA